GAGGGUUGAUGUAACAGGAGGGUUGAUGUAACAGGAGGGUUGAUGUAACAGGAGGGUUGAGGUAACAGGAGGGUUGAUGUAACAGGAGGGUUGAUGUAACAGGAGGGUUGAUGUAACAGGAGGGUUGAGGUAACAGGAGGGUUGAGGUAACAGUAGGGUUGAGGUAACAGGAGGGUUGAUGUAACAGGAGGGUUGAGGUAACAGGAGGGUUGAUGUAACAGGAGGGUUGAUGUAACAGGAGGGUUGAGGUAACAGGAGGGUUGAUGUAACAGGAGGGUUGAUGUAACAGGAGGGUUGAUGUAACAGGAGGGUUGAUGUAACAGGUAACAGGAGGGUUGAUGAAACAGGAGGGUUGAUGUAACAGGAGGGUUGAUGUAACAGGUAACAGGAGGGUUGAUGUAACAGGAGGGUUGAUGUAACAGGAGGGUUGAUGUAACAGGAGGGUUGAUGUAACAGGAGGGUUGAUGUAACAGGAGGGUUGAUGUAACAGGAGGGUUGAUGUAACAGGUAACAGGAGGGUUGAUGUAACAGGAGGGUUGAUGUAACAGGAGGGUUGAUGUAACAGGAGGGUUGAUGUAACAGGUAACAGGAGGGUUGAUGUAACAGGAGGGUUGAUGUAACAGGAGGGUUGAUGUAACAGGAGGGUUGAUGUAACAGGAGGGUUGAUGUAACAGGUAACAGGAGGGUUGAUGUAACAGGAGGGUUGAUGUAACAGGAGGGUUGAUGUAACAGGUAACAGGAGGGUUGAUGUAACAGGAGGGUUGAUGUAACAGGAGGAUUGAUGUAACAGGAGGGUUGAGGUAACAGGAGGGUUGAUGUAACAGGAGGGUUGAUGUAACAGGUAACAGGAGGGUUGAUGUAACAGGAGGGUUGAUGUAACAGGAGGGUUGAUGUAACAGGAGGGUUGAUGUAACAGGUAACAGGAGGGUUGAUGUAACAGGAGGGUUGAUGUAACAGGAGGGUUGAUGUAACAGGAGGGUUGAUGUAACAGGAGGGUUGAUGUAACAGGAGGGUUGAUGUAACAGGAGGGUUGAUGUAACAGGAGGGUUGAUGUAACAGGAGGGUUGAUGUAACAGGAGGGUUGAUGUAACAGGAGGGUUGAUGUAACAGGAGGGUUGAUGUAACAGGAGGGUUGAUGUAA